UACUUUUUUUACCAUUAAUCAGCUUUCAAAAGUGAGAAAUGUUUUUUUCUCAGAGCAGGAGGAUGUCCUCGCCUUGUACGCCUCCAUUCUUUCAUGACAUUUUUUUUUUCAUUCAUCUAGUCUCGAAUCAAAUGAUCAAUAUCUGACAGCAUGAAACAAGAGAAACACUUUAAUUCCUCUUUUCAAAAUGUGUCCAGCCUCAGCUUUUGUAAAAACAAAUUCAUGCACAAAUCUAGGAAAUUAGUGAGGAGCAGACUUGGUCGUUAUCCCUUAUUCUACCAUUGACAAGGACUUAGAAACAUAUCAACUUUGAUGAGAUUCAACCGCUUAAAAUUGAGGUAAAUCUACCCAGACAUGCAGGAUUGUACUUUAGAAGCCAAGAGACACAUCUCAAUAAUCCUAUUUGGCAUUCAAUCUACAUGUACUUCUGUACCAGCUGUACCUCUGAGUACUACCGGAUCAGUGGUUAGAUACAAAGUUUUAUCCCAGACCAGACGUGAAAAGAUAUGGAUGAGUACUACUGAAUCAGUGAUUGUAUACAAAGUUUUAUCCCAGACCAGGCGUGAAAAGAUAUGGAUGAAUACUACUGAAUCAGUGAUUGUAUACAAAGUUUUAUCUCAGACCAGGCGUGAAAAGAUAUGGAUGAGUACCUGAAUCAGUGAUUAGAUACAAAGUUUUAUCCCAGACCAGACGUGAAAAAAAAUGUGGAUGCAUGAGAACAAAACCAGUGUGUUUUCUAUCCGCAUCCUGUCGUCUAUCAAGAUCUAGUACCAGUGUUCUCAUUUAAAAUUUAUUUCCUCUUAUUGUAUAUAUUUAAUUACGUAUUAAUUUAAUUAUUGUUUCAAUUAUUAAAUUUGUCUUCAUUUUUAGUCUAUAUUUUGUAAAUUUUAUAAUUUGAAGUGUUUUUUCAAUAUUGUAUUUUCUGUAAUCUUUGCUUUACUUGUCUGUAGUUCAACUAAAUUGUAUAACACGCUCCUUCACAUAUUUUUUAAUUUCAUUUUAGUCACCUUUAAACACGUACAUUUGUAACAUACAAACAUUCGAUUAUCGCAACUGGAAGGCUUAAAUAUUUUUAGAAAAACGAGGGCUGUUCAAAAAAAUUUACAGAAAGUGUUAAAAUUUGUUAUUGUAUAUUCAAGACAAUCAAGAUAAAACAUAAUUAUAUGUAAAAAAAAAAAAUAUAUUGACUUUGAUGGUGUGUUUCAUUUUAUAAAUAUUCAAUGGAACUAAUGUUACCAAUUUCUAAGAUGAAUGUUUUGAUACGAAGGAGCACAUUUAACAACAUUCCAACUUCAAAAACUCUCUCUUAAAUAAUUUAUCUUUACAUUUCAAAGAAGUCUGACAUCAUACCCACUUAUCAAAAACUUUCUAUACCACUUGUCUAAUAUCUGGUUUAGUAUCAUACAUGUAUUAAGUCCGUUUGUCAGUUUUUUUAAUAGCGUAGCUCUCUGUAACAGUGAAGCGCCCAUCUUGAUACAUUAAUUGCACCUCUUUUGAUCAAAUUUUUACUGAUACCCUUUUUGCUCAUAGACCAUUUAUCGUCUGAUAAAGAGUCUCUAGUCUCUACUAUUAUAAAAACGUCUUUGUCAUAUAUAAACAAUGCACGGCUUACUUUUAACAUAUUAUUAGCUUUAUCCUGCAUUUUUGGAGUUAAGUCUUUUAUAUUUAAUAUUUAUUUCUUAUUCUAUUUCCCAAGUGCAGGACAAAGUUGUAUUGCUUGUUACUUUUCAGUGAUGGCUACCCAUCUUCUGAAAUUCAUUUCUCAUUAACUAAGCAAACUUUCAACUCACAACUUAACAUAUCAAUGUUGUAGCAAAUUUCACUAUAAACGUCUGAAUAUGUCUUCGUUUUUGAGCAAUUUUACAGAGAUGUGACUACUUAUACCUAUUAAGAAAUUAAUAAAUAGUAUUGUCUUUUAAUUUGACCUGCUCCAUGAUUCCAUUUUUACAGCUUUAAACUUUUAAUGAGAUUGAAACUUAUCAUGAUAUAAAUUAUUGGAAUUUUUAAAUUCAAACCAUUCGAAUUGAAAGUUAUUUACAAAAUUUGUUGACAAUGUGACAAAAGCCUUCAGACUUUUCGAACAGCCCUCGUAUGUACAUUUCAAUUGAUAUCUACAGAUGACGAAAAGUUAUGAUUAACAUAUAUCCUUGUCUCUAUAUUUUCAUAUACGCAGCUGCAGUUUAGC